GUCCUGUUCGCUACCCACGCUUUCGUCCCUCAGCGUCAGUGUAUUGUUAGUGAUCUGCCUUCGCAAUCGGUAUUCUAUGUAAUAUCUAUGCAUUUCACCGCUACACUACAUAUUCUAACCACUUCACAAUAACUCAAGUCUUUCAGUAUCAAAGGCAGUUCUAUCGUUGAGCGAUAGGAUUUCACCUCUGACUUAAAAGACCGCCUGCGGACCCUUUAAACCCAAUGAUUCCGGAUAACGCUUGGAUCCUCCGUAUUACCGCGGCUGCUGGCACGGAGUUAGCCGAUCCUUAUUCUUACAGUACCGUCAGCUUGGUACACGUACCAAGGUUUCUUCCUGUAUAAAAGCAGUUUACAACCCAUAGGGCAGUCUUCCUGCACGCGGCAUGGCUGGAUCAGAGUUGCCUCCAUUGUCCAAUAUUCCUCACUGCUGCCUCCCGUAGGAGUCUGGUCCGUGUCUCAGUACCAGUGUGGGGGAUCUCCCUCUCAGGACCCCUACCUAUCGCGGUCUUGGUGAGCCGUUACCUCACCAACUAGCUAAUCUCACGCAGGCUCAUCAAAUAGCGAAAGGUCUGUAAACAGAUCCCCUCCUUUCCCCCUCAGGGAUUAUGCGGUAUUAGCAGUCGUUUCCAACUGUUGUCCCCCACUACUCGGUAGAUUCCUACGCGUUACUCACCCGUCCGCCACUCGUCAGCAACUAGCAAGCUAGUUCUGUUACCGUUCGACUUGCAUGUGUUAAGCCUGCCGCCAGCGUUCAAUCUGAGCCAGGAUCAAACUCU
rnacentral:rRNA from 1 species